GUGUCCCCGCGCGCGAGAUUGACCAAAAAUUCACCCAUCUGUAGCUGCUCCCCGAACCCCUACCCACACCGCUGCCGCCACCGCUGCCGACGUAAUCGCACGGCCGCUCCCCGACCCACACCUCGCACAAUGUGCGCCCCGCCGCCGCCGCCUCCCCUCUAGAUCCUCAAUGCACCGCUAGGUCCCGUCCACAGCCGCUCACUGCCGCCACCUCUAACGCGCCUAGGACCAUCGCCACCUCCACAUCUAGCUUCUGGAGUCGAGAUCCAUGGUCGACUCCACUGGAGGAGCCCGGAUCUGGCCUACCGGGCACGGUCUCGAGCUUUAGGCAUCUCAGCAGGCAGCGGUGUACUCCGUCAUCGCCCAAUGGAGCAACCAACCAAGCAAGAACUCUAUCCAUGCUCGUGUCGAGGCGUUGUCUCUACUCUCUACUCCAUCCCGCGUCUGCGCGUCGUCCUCUACGGAUCCGUCCACCGCUGCGCCAGCACGAUGUGAAUCGAGACACGCCUCCGCCUAUGCGUCCAAGACACGCCUCUGCAUCUGCGUCCGUGCACUGGCUACGCGGCAUCGAUUACGGAGUGGAGGAACAUAGUUUGAUUGAUAUUUUGUUUGAUUAUGGAUAGUCUACCUACUCGCAAUUCUCUACAUAUGAGGACUUGAGGAUUUAGAGCAAGACCUAAAGUAAGUUACUCUGAGGUAUAUACAUUUUGGUCCCCUCCGAUCUGCUUCACCUUCAUCCUUAAUUACAUCCCAAACAUUUAUAAGUCUGAUGUUGCUUAUUAGAGUCUUUUUAAAAAAAUUGAAAACACAAGAGAGUUGCAUGUCCUAUUAAAAAGAGGAUGGUCAUAUUGUGGAACUGUUAUUUUGAAACGGAGUGGUCUUAUUGUCUGAACCUGCUAUUUUGAGCUCUGAAAUAUAUGUGAUUGACUAUAGAAUUAUUUCAAGAACAAACUGUUAUUGGCAUUUGUUCUUGCGAGUGUCCAGCAGUAGCAUGCUUGUCACUCUGGUUUGGAAAUAUUGAAAAUUUCAUCUUUGACCGACUAAUAAAGAGUAGAACAAAAUAUAUUUGCAUUUCCCCUAGUCAAUGAACCAGUUCAAUUUACACCAAACAAUUUCUAUACAAAGGUAUACCCUUGAAGGGACACACUUUAUGAUUCCAUGGUUUGAAUGACCAAUCAUUUAUGAUGUCCGUGCUCGACUGAAUCUCGUGGAGAGUACUUCUGGGAGCCUAGACCUUCAGAUGGUAAGUAUAUACAUCACUUUUGUUCGAUUCCACCGGCCUCUCAAUCUUCAUGAUUCAGAGCCUCUUAGUUCUUAUGUAAAUGUUGAUGUUGACUGCUUGAUAUGCAUGCUUUUAUGUCCAUUGGUUAUUGCAUCACAAUGUUCAUCUAAAAUUUGGGCUGAUAAACCUGUUUCUUCCUUGACUUAUUGUUCAUUUGAUCCCUUAAAGCUACCACUGGCUAUUAUGAUUAUUUCAGCACCAAUAGUUUGUCUGCAGUUUUCAUUGAAAUUUUUAUUCAUUCAAAAGUUGGGACCAAUGAACCUGAUAAAUUCAGAACAUGUUAUGGCUUUGAGGAAUAAAUGCAGUUUUUAUAAUUUAUCGUUUAUGUUUAUAUCAUAAUAUGUCAUUUGUACCCUUGUCUAAGUAUAGAAACGGUUGCUUGUCUUAUGUCAACACAAAUCAAAUUUUGUAGGAUUUGUGGUUUUGUAUAAGGACGAUGAAAGAUUUAAGUGUCCAACAUUUGAUCUUUAAACUUUAGUCAACUAUUGUAUUUUUAGACCAAGAAAUCAAACGUAUCCUUACAGAUUAAGAAAUCACCAAUGCAACAACUAUUUUGGAUUCCAAGCAAUUUCGGUGUUGCAAAUGAGGCUAGCAUCUCACCUGAAGUUCUCAAAAUAUAUUUUUUCCUGAUCAUGGGUUGUAUCAUUGUCUGAUUGACAUUUUCAUGAUUACUCUAAGGUAUAUACAUUUUAGUCCACUCUGAUCUGCUCCACCUUCAUCCUUAAUUACAUUCCAAACAUUUAUAAGGCGAACGUUGUUUAUUAGAUUCUUUUUAAAAAAACUGAAAAUAUAGCAGAGUUGUAUGUCCUAUUAAAAAGAGGAUGGUCAUAUUGCAUGAACUGUUAUUGCCUGAACUUUUUAUUUUGAAACGGAGUGGUCUUAUUGCCUGAACCUGAUAUUUUGAGCUCUGAAAUAUGUGAUUGACUGUAGAAUUAUUUCAAGAACAGACUGUAUUGUAGUAACCUUUUUCUCCUGGAGUAUAAUUAUCUGUAUUCGAAUGCUCCUUUUUAUAUGAUGAUGAAUUGUUCUACAGUAUCUUUAUUUGCAAAUGUAGCAACAAUAUACUAAUUUGAUGUACUUUUUUCUAGGGUGUUCUGGACAAUGAAAGCUUGUACCUUAAAACAGGAGGAUACAAGAAGCUGGAGUGGUUGUCUGAAGGCUU